rnacentral:piRNA from 1 species
UGGGGCAGUGUGGUGCUCUAUCCUGGGAC